rnacentral:rRNA from 1 species
AAUGACUCUCGGCAACGGAUAUCUCGGCUCACGCAUCGAUGAAGAACGUAGCAAAAUGCGAUACUUGGUGUGAAUUGCAGAAUCCCGUGAACCAUCGAGUUUUUGAACGCAAGUUGCGCCCGAAGCCAUUCGGCUGAGGGCACGUCUGCCUGGGCGUCACGCAU